AUUGAACGCUGGCGGCAUGCCUUACACAUGCAAGUCGAACGGUAACAGGUCUUCGGAUGCUGACGAGUGGCGAACGGGUGAGUAAUACAUCGGAACGUGCCCGAUCGUGGGGGAUAACGCAGCGAAAGCUGUGCUAAUACCGCAUACGAUCUACGGAUGACAGCGGGGGAUCGCAAGACCUCGCGCGGACGGAGCGGCCGAUGGCAGAUUAGGUAGUUGGUGGGAUAAAAGCUUACCAAGCCGACGAUCUGUAGCUGGGCUGAGAGGACGACCAGCCACACUGGGACUGAGACACGGCCCAGACUCCUACGGGAGGCAGCAGUGGGGAAUUUUGGACAAUGGGCGCAAGCCUGAUCCAGCCAUGCCGCGUGCAGGAUGAAGGCCUUCGGGUUGUAAACUGCUUUUGUACGGAACGAAAAAGCUCUCUCUAAUACAGGGGGUGAAUGACGGUACCGUAAGAAUAAGCACCGGCUAACUACGUG
rnacentral:rRNA from 1 species